CUACAGAGGGUGCAAUCGUUAAUCGGAAUUACUGGGCGUAAAGCGCGCGUAGGCGGUUUAAUCAGUCGGAUGUGAAAGCCCCGGGCUCAACCUGGGAACUGCAUUCGAUACUGUUAAGCUAGAGUAUGGUAGAGGGAAGUGGAAUUCCAGGUGUAGCGGUGAAAUGCGUAGAUAUCUGGAGGAACAUCAGUGGCGAAGGCGACUUCCUGGACCAAUACUGACGCUGAGGUGCGAAAGCGUGGGGAGCAAACAGGAGUAGAAACCCUAGUAGUCC
rnacentral:rRNA from 1 species